AGAGUGAACGCUGGCGGCAGGCCUAAUACAUGCAAGUCGAACGGCAGCACAGCAGAGCUUGCUCUGUGGGUGGCGAGUGGCGGACGGGUGAGGAAUACAUGGGAAUCUGCCCAGUCGUGGGGGAUAACGUAGGGAAACUUACGCUAAUACCGCAUGCGCCCUUCGGGGGAAAGCCGGGGACCUUCGGGCCUGGCGCGAUUGGAUGAGCCCAUGUCGGAUUAGCUAGUUGGGGGUAAAGCCCACCAAGGCGACGAUCCGUAGCUGGUCUGAGAGGAUGAUCAGCCACACUGGAACUGAGACACGGUCCAGACUCCUACGGGAGCAGCAGUAGGGAAUAUGGACAAUGGGCGCAAGCCUGAUCCAGCCAUGCCGCGUGUGUAGAAG
rnacentral:rRNA from 1 species